GACGAACGCUGGCGGCGUGCUUAACACAUGCAAGUCGAACGAUGAAGCCUAGCUUGCUAGGUGGAUUAGUGGCGAACGGGUGAGUAAUACGUGAGUAACCUACCUUUAACUCUGGGAUAAGCCCGGGAAACUGGGUCUAAUACCGGAUACGACCAAUCUCCGCAUGGGGUGUUGGUGGAAAGCGUUAUGUAGUGGUUAUAGAUGGGCUCACGGCCUAUCAGCUUGUUGGUGAGGUAACGGCUCACCAAGGCGACGACGGGUAGCCGGCCUGAGAGGGUGACCGGCCACACUGGGACUGAGACACGGCCCAGACUCCUACGGGAGGCAGCAGUGGGGAAUAUUGCACAAUGGGCGCAAGCCUGAUGCAGCGACGCCGCGUGAGGGAUGACGGCCUUCGGGUUGUAAACCUCUGUUGGCAGGGAAGAAGAGAGAUUGACGGUACCUGCAGAGAAAGCGCCGGCUAACUACGUG
rnacentral:rRNA from 1 species